UCAGAAUUCGGGUUGAUUUGACUGGGCACCAGCGUAAAAGAGCAUUAUUUUAUUACGUAACGCAGUUGGUGGUGUGGGUUGAGGGGGUGGGAGGUUCGAACGAGUUAAGUAUGUUUUUUGAAAUUUGUAUGGACAUUUUAAACGAAGGGCGAGGGGGUCAAAAAAUCCAAAUUUUAGCGUUACGUAAUAAAAGAAGUGUAAUGAGCAGGCAUUCGUUGGUUGGUUUCUAGCCGAGUUCUAACACAGUUUCCAUUUUCUUAUAGAAUUCUAACAGAAAUGUAGUGACAUUCUAGCAGGAUUCUUACAGAACCAGCUCUGCUAAAAUAUUUUGUGCCUGGGCAACGUUAUUGCUUCACCGAGUAACAGCAUUAAACUUUUUUUAGUUCAACUAUGAUUACACAUAUAAUCCUACUUGAACCUACUGCUCAGUCAACUCAAUCGGAAUUCUAAAACGGAAUUCAGUUCGGUUGUUGCGUUUGAAACGGAAUACUUAAACGAUUCGAUUUUAAUUCCGAUUGAGUUGACUGGGUAGUACCGCGGGUAUAGAGUUAUCUAAGUGCGCAUGUAUUGCGUGUACGUACACGAAAAAAAGUGAGGUUAAAUUUUGUACCAGCCAGCAAAACAAAUGGUGUGCUAGUGUAUGUGAGAUCGGGCUUAGAUAGCUCCAUGAAUAUUCAAGUAAUUUCAAUAUGGCGACUUGUAUCAGAAGAAGGUGAGGCGUUUUCGCUAGUUGUAACUGUUCUGUGUUCUGUGUGCACGUCCGCAAACAUCGACCACACACAUACUUAUACAAAGCGCCACCAAGAGGCAAAAGGUAAUUACGAAUAUUUUUGACAAUUUCGUUUCGGUUUUGCAAAAACAAAUAACAAAAUUAGCUUUUAAGUAAAGUUUGACUAUCAAACUUGUAAUUGUUGCUGAUUUGUACGAAAAUUUGAACAAAAAAUAAUAUAUAUCGUAUAUAUAUAUAACUCGUGGUGGUGAAUUACGGGUAAGAACGCGGAAUGAGCGUAUCACCAGCCAUUGACGACCAUCUAUUCCACAGAGCUUCCCGGUCGGAAGUGGACGGCACCAGGCAGAGGCAGGCCCGCGAAGCACAAUAAAACAUCUACCAAGCACGCAAAACAUCACGACACAAGCCGGCACCAAGUGCGAGCCAGCGGAGGCGUCGGUAACGCAGAUCGCUGGGCGCGUCGCUAACCGUUCUAACAGAAUUUCCAUCAUUAGGACCGAGCGGCCUCACCCAAAGGAGAACGAUCAGAGGGGUCGGUAAAGUAGCCGGCACGAACCAACGCUCACUAGGCCAGAACGCUCCAUCGGUCCAGGACCUGCGGCAUUCAUUCCACCGUCGUCGCCGGAUCACGUACGAUAGAGCACAACGCGAAUCCCGCGAACGGGAACCGAGGACACAGGACGUCACUGGAUCGCUGCCGAUAAGUUGCGUCGAGGUCUUGGAGUAGUUGCACGCGAUCGGAAGCCAAACGCCCCCAAGAAACACGGGGGCGUUUUUUGGGACACUUGAGUCAUUGGAGUUUCGGCGCUCGAGGUUGGACGUGCGGAAGGCCGGCAGUCCGGAGAGGAGCAUUCGGUUCGCGAGGCACGCGUAGGGACGCUGCAGGAAAGCGUCGAAGAUCAGACGC